AUUGGGCGAGAAUAACAUGCAGUUCUGUCACCUACGACUUUUUGACUGGCAGAAUUUGCAGUAUAAAUUUUAUUAUAUUUAUGAAGGCUUAUUUUUAGUUUUCAGUUUUUGAUUGUAUGCUUCCCUGAUUUGUUUUGGAUGGGCAGCUGGAUAAAUUGCUAACUAAAUCAAAUGAGCAGUGGCGGGGUUUUUGUGAUGUGAAUGUCCAUCUUCAGGUGCUUUUCCUGGUGAAGCUGAUAUUGACAUUCAUGACUUCCUUUUGUUCAUAGUUCCCUAUUGACUUUGUUGAAUUUUUAAAAAGUUGUAAGUAUUCUGUUGAAUACAUAUACACUAUUCAAUUCUAUUUAGGCCGCCCAAAUAAGGAUGCACUGGAAAGAUGCCGAUUAUACUUCAGAAUUAUUAAUUGACAUUUUUAUGAUGAAUAAUUAAUCAUUGGAAUAAUUUUUGUAUCUCUGAUCUGAACACAUAUUUGCAUAUCUAAUGUCUGAUUUUAAAUGUGGUUUCUUCAGUUGCAUUCCCUAGGACAAAGAAGUAAGAAACAAUGUAAAGGAAUUUUUCCCUCCUUUUUGCUUGCAGAAAAGUAUUAUAGUCCUAGAAAAAUACUGUGUGUCUACUGAACAAUUCCAGCUCAAAGCUUUGGAGAUGGAAGCUGCCAAUUCCUAGCUAUUUAGUUAGAUGGGAGAUAUAAGCUCAGAGGAAGGCUGCUUUUUCGUACUCAGCUGCCUGGGAUUUGAUAGUUGUGAACUCAGUGGAGCUUACUUCUGAUUAGAUGUGCAUAGGAUUGCACCAUGCCUGCACCAAUGCUUCUCAGCUCUAUUCAGCCUUGCAAGAAAGUCAUGUUACUUGGCUAAAAAGAUGACAUCAUAUUACUGAGAAAUAUGAUCUUGGAACAUUAGUGGCAUUUGCUUCUAGAGGUCUGGAGAUUUGACUAGGUCUUGGGAAGGAUAAUGGUCCAUGUAUUGUGAACACAACAACAACAACAACUUGUAUGCCGCCCAACUCUCAAUGACUCUGGGUGGCAAAGUCAAGUGGCUCAAGGUCUUGGAUACUAAAGAGCAGUUGAAACAAAAAGCUCUUAUCACUGAGCUGCAUGAACAAUAUUGCUUGUUAAAACAGUUUCAUUCUCAUAAAAGAUAGAUACUUGAUGAUAUUUAAUAAGAACUUUGUGUUAUUGAUGGAAAACAUGUUUGAUAUUUAAAAAUAACAGUUACUAAGAUCUUCUGUUUUCUGUCCCCUAACUGCAUUGGCAAAUAAAAAGUACAGCUGUUCAAAUUA